GGCAGUGUAGCAUAGUGGUUAAGGAGCUGGACUUGUAACCAAAAGGUUGCCUGUUCGAUUCCCCGCUGGGCCACUGCUG
rnacentral:tRNA from 1 species